ensembl:snRNA U6 U6 spliceosomal RNA
GUGCUUGCUCUGGCAGCGCACACACUAAACUUGGAAUGACACAGAGAAGAUUAGCAUGGCCUCUGUGCAAGGAUAACACACACAUUCAUGAAGCAUCCCAUAUUUUU